rnacentral:rRNA from 1 species
AAUGGUGGAAUUCGCCCUUCUUGGUCAUUUAGAGGAAGUAAAAGUCGUAACAAGGUUUCCGUAGGUGAACCUGCGGAAGGAUCAUUAAAGAAAAGAAAUACAAGUGAGUUGGAGCGACACAAAAUAUUUUUAUUUUUGUUAUCAAAAAAAACUUUUAUAACUUUUAGCAACGGAUCUCUUGGCUCUCGCAUCGAUGAAGAACGCAGCAAAUCGCGAUAUGUAUGAUGACUUGCAGACGUGAAUCAUAAUUUUUGAACGCACAUGGCCUUAGAUACUGGGUUGAGCGUCACAUUCCUCAAACUUUUGGUUUGGCUUGUGUUUCACCUCAACGAUUUUAUUCUUGUCCUCAGCCCAGUAAGACUACCCGCUGAACUUAAGCAUAUCAAUAAGCGGAGGAAAAGAAACCAACCGGGAUUGCCUCAGUAACGGCGAGUGAAGCGGCAAAAGCUCAAAUUUGAAAUCCUUUGGGAGUUGUAAUUUAAAGAUUUUGGGGCCGGCAUCUUUGUUAGCAAAGUCCACUGGAACGUGGCACCACAGAGGGUGAUAGUCCCGUAGACGACAAAGGCCCAACCCAAAUUCCAAGAGUCGAGUUGUUUGGGAAUGCAGCUCUAAAUGGGUGGUAAAUUCCAUCUAAAGCUAAAUAUUGGCGAGAGACCGAUAGCGAACAAGUACAGUGAUGGAAAGAUGAAAAGCACUUUGAAAAGAGAGUGAAAUAGUACGUGAAAUUGCUGAAAGGGAAGGGCUUGCAAGCAGACACAAGUUGCAAAACUUGGGCUGGCAUCAGGGAGAGCGGAGAAAUAUUGGGAGCGUUGUUAGCCCUUUGGGCCCGGGCGCGCCAGGCUUCUCCCGUUUUCCCUGAGGACCGCUUCUUACAGGAUGCCGGCGUAAUGGUUGCAAGCCGCCCGUCUUGAAACACGGACCAAGGGCGAAUUCCACCAGUGGAUAUCAAGGCUUAUCGAUACCCUCGACCCUG